rnacentral:lncRNA from 1 species
UAACGAUUUAGUUUGAGUUUCGGCGGAAACCGUUGUAUCGUCCAAUUGCGUCCAAGCAGUUUGAGUUUGAAUAUUGGUUAAUACUAAAUCGGGCGAUAUCAUUUCAUCCGAAGUUUGAGUAUACUCUUCGCUUUCCACUGGUUCCGUUACCAUUGGAGACCUGUUUUAGCGGACUGGAUGCUCUUCUAUACUUCUUAUACUCAUCAGUUUGUACGCCAAUAUCGACGAUACAACGGUAGGAGAUAAAGGGAUAGCACGAGUGAUCUUUGAGUUAGUCCGUCUAAAAAUAAGCAUUAUUAUUAAGUAUGAUUGUAAAUAAUAUAUAUAUAUAUAUACACAUUAGAUCAAACUUAAAAAUGAAAUAACAUUUGCUUUAGAUAAAGCUCGAGCUUACCUUAAAGAACUUUUAUAUUUAUUGUCAAUAGUAUGCAAAGAUCUUUUAGCAUGCGUAAGGAGUGCCUCGUAAGUGCUGUAAGUCUUCGAACAAUAACAAGAAAAUUCAAUGCCGCA